rnacentral:rRNA from 1 species
GACGAACGCUGGCGGCGUGCUUAACACAUGCAAGUCGAACGAUGAAGCCGGAGCUUGCUCCGGUGGAUUAGUGGCGAACGGGUGAGUAACACGUGAGCAAUCUGCCCUGGACUCUGGGAUAACUGCGGGAAACUGUAGCUAGCACCGGAUACGACACCUUGGGGCAUCCCAGGGUGUGGAAAGAAUUUCGGUCAAGGAUGAGCUCGCGGCCUAUCAGCUAGUUGGUGAGGUAAUGGCUCACCAAGGCGACGACGGGUAGCCGGCCUGAGAGGGUGACCGGCCACACUGGAACUGAGACACGGUCCAGACUCCUACGGGAGGCAGCAGUGGGGAAUAUUGCACAAUGGGCGAAAGCCUGAUGCAGCAACGCCGCGUGAGGGAUGAAGGCCUUCGGGUUGUAAACCUCUUUUAGCAGGGAAGAAGCGAAAGUGACGGUACCUGCAGAAAAAGCACCGGCUAACUACGUGCCAGCCGCCGCCGUAA